UCGAGGAUCUUCGGCAAUGGGCGCAAGCCUGACCGAGCGACGCCGCGUGCGCGAUGAAGGCCUUCGGGUUGUAAAGCGCUGUCGAGGGGGAGGAAGGUCCGCAAGGGCUUGACCUAUCCCUGGAGGAAGCACGGGCUAAGUUCGUGCCAGCAGCCGCGGUAAGACGAACCGUGCAAACGUUGUUCGGAUUCACUGGGCUUAAAGGGCGCGUAGGCGGGUGGCCAAGUCAUGGGUGAAAUCUUUCGGCUUAACCGGAAAAUUGCCUUUGAUACUGGCCGUCUGGAGGGAGGUAGGGGCAUGUGGAACUUCCGGUGGAGCGGUGAAAUGCGUUGAUAUCGGAAGGAACGCCGGUGGCGAAAGCGACGUGCUGGACCUCUUCUGACGCUGAUGCGCGAAAGCUAGGGGAGCGAACGG
rnacentral:rRNA from 1 species